ACGAGUGAAGAGGCUUCGUUUUGAAGUCGGCGCGCAGGCGGCGAGGGCAGCAGAGACGGCAUUGAAGGCCUCCUUCUCCGAUCCCUCAAGCUCGCUUGAAACCCUAGGAGAAGAUGCAGGUAUUCGUGAAAACCCUAACUGGUAAGACUAUCACCCUUGAGGUGGAGAGCAGCGACACAAUCGAAAUCGUCAAGUCCAAGAUCCAGGACAAGGAGGGCAUACCUCCAGAUCAACAGAGAUUGAUUUUUGCUGGUAAACAAUUAGAAGAUGGACGAACCCUAGCUGAUUACAACAUCCAGAAGGAGUCAACACUCCAUCUAGUUUUGAGGCUAAGAGGUGGAACAAUGAUCAAGGUGAAGACUCUUACUGGAAAGGAGAUUGAAAUCGACAUUGAACCUAUUGAUUCAAUUGAGAGGAUCAAGGAGCGUGUGGAGGAGAAAGAAGGCAUUCCACCUGUGCAGCAGAGACUUAUUUACGCUGGUAAGCAGCUAAGCGAUGACAAGACCGCUAAGGAUUACAACAUCGAGGGUGGUUCCGUUCUUCACCUUGUGCUUGCUCUGCGUGGUGGUUGCUGGAAUUGAACUUCCAGAUUUCAAUUUGGUUUUCAAAAACUAUUAGCUUAACUCAGAAACAAGAACCAACAUGAAAGUGUGCAAACUUGCUCAAACAUUCUGCUGGGUAAUUGCCCUGUUAGGCAUGUGAGGAGACAUCAUCUUGAAAGCAUAGCAGGAGAUCAAUACAUCCAAAUCUAUACAUCCAAACGGGAGUUGCACUCACCACAGUCAUUGUCUGGCCGUACAAAAAUUGUCAUGUAAACAGCCAUUGUUCAGUCUAGUUGUCUGCAUUCAGAUGAGUGGCCUGGGCCAUCAAUUUUGGCUGCGUUUGAUUCUGGGGAUAUCAAAACAAGUGAAAAAGGUACUCUCUCUUCCAUCCUUGUCACCAAAUCUAUGCAUCUUUUACUGCUUUUCUGUAUGAAUAAAAAUAUUGCUUCUCAUUAUUUUCAUGGGAAAAAGAAAUUUGUUUUACUCUCAUGAUUAACCACAAUGCAUUUUUAUUGCGUUAGG